rnacentral:lncRNA from 1 species
CUUCGUUAUUCACUGUGUAUUUAUUCCUCAUGUCAUUAAUUAUAUUUUUUAUUUUAUUCUUUAUCUUAUCUUUAACUCUGUUAACUCUUGAAAAGGCCGUAAGUCAGCAUUUCACUGUUAGUCUACAAAGCAUGUGGGGGAAAAAAGUUGAUUUGAUUUUGUGGUGAAUGUAAUUCUGUCCCCCUCGCUCCCUCCCUCCCUCCCUCUUUUUUUUCAGCAGUAGUGAAUGUAUUCUCUCUCUCUUCCCGUCUGUCCCCCCCUCAGUAGCUGUAGUGGUGAUGUAACCGUGCUCCUCUCUCUCUAACAGGACAGAGCUGUUGGAUGGAAACUUUUCCCAGCUGAAAGGUUUAUUUCUUAAACCAAUCCAUCACUUCCUCUCUCUUUAACCCCUACUAUGCCAAUCCCUCACUUCCUCCCUCUUUAAACCAUACUAUGCCAAUCCCUCACUUCCUCCCUCUUUAAACCAUACUAUGCCAAUCCCUCACUUCCUCUCUCUUUAACCCCUACUAUGCCAAUCCCUCACUUCCUCUCUCUUUAACCCCUACUAUGCCAAUCCCUCACUUCCUCCCUCUUUCUAAAAACUUCCACACAAACCUUCUCAAACUCUUUCUCUCUUUAACCCAGACUACUUGAACUAAGGAUGGACACUUAUUUAUGUUUUAAUAUUCAAACACCGCCAGGGGAUUUUUUUUCGGGUAACCAGAUAUCUGAGGUUGUCUCAAGGGGAGUGGGAUAUGCAAAAAAAACAUUUCUAUUUCACCAAAAACCUUUUGGAGGGUUAAAUGUAAAGCAGUAGAUCAACACAUCGUUACAAAAAACGCUAAAAAAGUUGAUUUCUUUUUGACAAAGCUUUUUUCAUUGUUAAAAUAGCCCAGAAGAAAUGUCUUCAAAAAUUAACACUCACUAAAGUAGUCAAAUAUUAACGUCCCGUUCGGAUAUCCAGAUUUUCGAUUAACCGUGCCGGUCCCUAAUGCCAGCCUCUGUCCCCCCUUUUCACUGCCUCUGUCGCCCUUUUCACUGCCUCUUGUCGCCCUUUUCACUGCCUCUUGUCGCCCUUUUCACUGCCUCUUGUCGCCCUUUUCACUGCCUCUUGUCGCCCUUUUCACUGCCUCUGUCGCCCUUUUCACUGCCUCUGUCGCCGCCCUUUUCACUGCCUCUGUCGCCCUUUUCACUGCCUCUGUCGCCCUUUUCACUGCCUCUGUCGCCCCUUUUCACUGCCUCUGUCGCCCGUCCUUUUCACUGCCUCUGUCGCCCUUUUACUGCCUCUGUCGCACUUUUCACUGCCUCUGUCGCCCUUUUCACGCCUCUGUCGCCCUUUUCACUGCCUCUGUCGCCCUUUUCACUGCCUCUGUCGCCCUUUUCACUUGGCCUCUGUCGCCCUUUUUCACUGCCUCUGUCGCCCUUUU